rnacentral:rRNA from 1 species
GACGAACGCUGGCGGCGUGCUUAACACAUGCAAGUCGAACGGAAAGGCCCUGCUUUUGUGGGGUGCUCAAGUGGCGAACGGGUGAGUAACACGUGAGUAACCUGCCCUUGACUUUGGGAUAACUUCAGGAAACUGGGGCUAAUACCGGAUAGGAGCUCCUGCUGCAUGGUGGGGGUUGGAAAGUUUCGGCGGUUGGGGAUGGACUCGCGGCUUAUCAGCUUGUUGGUGGGGUAGUGGCUUACCAAGGCUUUGACGGGUAGCCGGCCUGAGAGGGUGACCGGCCACAUUGGGACUGAGAUACGGCCCAGACUCCUACGGGAGGCAGCAGUGGGGAAUAUUGCACAAUGGGCGGAAGCCUGAUGCAGUAACGCCGCGUGCGGGAUGACGGCCUUCGGGUUGUAAACCGCUUUCGCCUGUGACGAAGCGUGAGUGACGGUAAUGGGUAAAGAAGCACCGGCUAACUACGUG